CAGGCUGAGAUGAUAGAACAGGAGUUAUAUUAUAUAGUAGAUAUGUACCUGCAGCACCGCCAGGCUGAGAUGAUAGAGCAGGAGUUAUAUUAUACAGUAGAUAUGUACCUAUUGUACCUGCAGCACCCCCAGGCUGAGAUGAUUGAGCAGGAGCUAUAUUAUAUAGUAGAUAUGUAGCACCACCAGGCUGAGAUGAUAGAGCAGGAGUUAUAUUAUAUAGUAGAUAUGUAGCACCACCAGGCUGAGAUGAUAGAGCAGGAGUUAUAUUAUAUAGUAGAUAUGUACCUGCAGCACCGACAGGCUGAGAUGAUUGAGCAGGACCUAUAUUAUAUAGUAGAUAUGUAGCACCGCCAGGCUGAGAUGAUAGAUCAGGAGUGAGUUAUAUAGUAGAUGUAAUACACUGAUACACUUAAGCAAUAAGGCACAAGGGAGUGUGGUAUAU
ensembl:lncRNA